rnacentral:rRNA from 1 species
AUGCACGCUGGCGGCGUGCCUAAUACAUGCAAGUCGAGCGAACAGACGAGGAGCUUGCUCCUCUGACGUUAGCGGCGGACGGGUGAGUAACACGUGGAUAACCUACCUAUAAGACUGGGAUAACUUCGGGAAACCGGAGCUAAUACCGGAUAAUAUAUUGAACCGCAUGGUUCAAUAGUGAAAGACGGUUUUGCUGUCACUUAUAGAUGGAUCCGCGCCGCAUUAGCUAGUUGGUAAGGUAACGGCUUACCAAGGCAACGAUGCGUAGCCGACCUGAGAGGGUGAUCGGCCACACUGGAACUGAGACACGGUCCAGACUCCUACGGGAGGCAGCAGUAGGGAAUCUUCCGCAAUGGGCGAAAGCUUGACGGAGCAACGCCGCGUGAGUGAUGAAGGUCUUCGGAUCGUAAAACUCUGUUAUUAGGGAAGAACAAAUGUGUAAGUAACUAUGCACGUCUUGACGGUACCUAAUCAGAAAGCCACAGCUAACUACGUG